UGCCAGCCGCCGCGGUAAUACGAACGGCCCGAGCGUUAAGCGGAAUCACUGGGCUUAAAGCGUACGUAGGCGGGAAGGUAAGUACCUUGUGAAAGCCCACGGCUCAACCGUGGAAAUGCAGGGUAUACUGCCUUCCUUGAGGUCGGUAGAGGUUGUCGGAACUGUAGGUGUAGCGGUGAAAUGCGUAGAUAUCUACAGGAACGCCAAUGGUGAAGACAGGCAACUGGGCCGAUUCUGACGCUGAGGUACGAAAGCGUGGGUAGCGAACAGGAUUAGAUA
rnacentral:rRNA from 1 species